GUGUCUUCUGAUUUUAUUCAAAUUGGACCUGGCAACACUGAAAUAAUGUCAGAAUCUUUUCUUUGACAUUAUUUACAAUUUAUAUUAUUGUACAUAAUUGGUUUUUUCACUAUUCUUAAGCUAAAAAAAACACCUGUUUGUCCUCCAAAGAAUACCUUAUUGGAUUCACAGAAUGAUUGAGGAUUUGAGGGAAGCAUGUUAAGACUGUGACAAUAUGGUCUUAAGGCAGCCGGCCUCAUUGAGAACAAGAAAAUAUUCUGCUUCAUGUAGCGGUUGUUAUUUGUUAAUAUGACAUGUCUCGGCAGUGUAGUGACCCUGUGCUUAAUUAAGGCUUCAGGCUCAAAUCAUGGUACACCAAAAUGUAAGCGGCCGGUUGAAAAAGUAGCAGAGUCGAAAAUGGAAAUUAAUGAGCUGCAGAAGUAAAUUUUAGAAGAAUAAUUCUCUUCUUUGUUGUAUCCUUGUGGCUGAGGGACAUG